rnacentral:rRNA from 1 species
UACGUAGGUGACGAGCGUUAUCCGGAUUUACUGGGCGUAAAGCGCUUGUAGGUGGUUGCGUAAGUUGGACGUUAAAUCUCUGGGCUCAACUCAGAGAGGCCGUUCAAUACUGCGUGGCUAGAGGAUGUCAGAGGAAGGUGGAAUUCCAGGUGUAGUAGUGAAAUGCGUAGAUAUCUGGAGGAACACCCAUGGCGAAGGCAGCCUUCUGGGGCAUUCCUGACACUGAGAAGCGAAAGCUAGGGGAGCAAACAGG